CACCUUUCGACCACGACAGACCCACCACCACCACCACCACAACCACCAGAAGGACUUAAUACAAACCAACCAGAGGAGGCCGAGCCAGUGCAUAAUGGAUGCCAUCCGUGUCACAUCUUAACCGGGAUGAAAAUCAACCAGUGGGAAAAAUUGGUCUAUUUUUCUGCACGUGCAGAAUCCUCCAGAAAAUUUUGGCAUAAAACAGCUCGCAAAAAAUAGCAUGCAGAUUUAUGUAGACAGAAAAUUUCGCCAGAAUUAUAGUCUCGUCUGCAGCAGAACUUGAUUCUUAAAAAAUGGACUAAUUUUCGGCCGGGAUGCAUUUCAGUCGUAUCCUUCCCGCACGGGAUUUAUUUUACUCUAUUAUUUGAGGGAAUUAUGCAUAUCAUAUGCAUCCUCCCCUCCUAUCUCUUCCUCGUCUCCAUAUUCAUACAUUGAUAUCUCGACCGGCCAGUCACUCCAAAUUAUCCAUACAUCGGCUGAAGGACAUCGUCUCCUUCAACAAGGACAUAUACUGUCGUCUGUCCAAGAAUCCAGGCAGACGGAGUUCCGGUGUCUACCAAGACGUAUCUCCUCUCUCCACCACUGCCAUCCUAAAGUCCCCCAUAAUUCUACAGUUUCCACAACCUCUAAAUAUAUUUUGGUUUCUUGAUAUAUAAAUGUAAAAUCCUCCGGCUACGUAAAAUAAAUUGAUAACCAGUUGCUCUGUAAGAACUAUGACUCUCGGGGGACGCGUAUUACAUUUCGGUGACUUAUUUCGAGUGCUAAAUUCCGAUAAAACAUUAACUUUUCGUGUAUCUCACAUCAUAAGUGGGGCUGCCGAUCGCACAUACGGCCUUACGCCUCCAAACUGUGUGGUGUCCUUCCGGAACAUUCAUCCCAGUCCGUCCCGACUGCACUCACCUCUGACCUACCAAGCGCCCACCGGAAGACCAACGCCCACAUAUUUCAUUUUCUGUCGUGUCACGUAUCACAUUCUUCUUCUUUUACGGGGAUGAUAACAGAGAGGUUACAAAGUGGCAGAGGAAAUCUCUGGGUCAAGAAGUAAGGAGAAGUUUCGCCAUAAAUGUGACUGUACCCAACCCUGCAAGGUGACGACGACGAAUUGCCUAUUUGGUCAUCCUCCUCACCCCACGACAAGAAAACAAAGGAUGCAAAAUAUGCAACUUUUCUUGUAAUGAUAAAAGUUGUUUAAAUUCUGAAAUCGCGUCAAUUACAGAGUCAAUAGGCCUUGCAAAAAACAUUUGCAAAAUAUGUUGAAAAACAUAUUUUCGCAUAGUUUUACUUUUGAAUUGACUACUCUGGAUUUUUUUAUGGUUGAAUUUCUUUUAGCAAAAAAAUUCAUCGUAUUUAAAUAUUUAAAACAUAAGUAUAUACAUAUUUUUGGACAAUUAAAAAAAAUAGCGGACAUAUUUACUUGUCUGAAAACCCAGAAAUAUAUAAAAAAUAUUUUGAAAUUUUUGUUAUCUAUGCGAGUUAGGGAUCACACCCACAAAAUUUGACCAACGGUCGUCAUCAAGUGAAAAAGUUGAAAAUAAAUAAAUUCAUAUCAGCUCUCCGUUAAUUACUUGGCACACUGCUAAAUAUGGCCAAUUUUUCUUGUCUUCCACAUUCUUUGAAUUCUUUCACCAUUUUUGCAACGUGGGCAUCGUCCCUAACCAAAUAUUCGUGUUUAAUUUGCAUUUAUUCUUAGCUACAUUCACUUCGCAAAACUACACUUUACAAAAUUUGAUCUUACUCUGAAAUAAAAGGAAUAAAAAAUAAAAUUGUGAAAAACA